AGUAAUGUCUGGGAAACUGCCUGAUGGAGGGGGAUAAUUACUGGAAACGGUAGCUAAUACCGCAUAACGUCGCAAGACCAAAGUGGGGGACCUUCGGGCCUCAUGCCAUCAGAUGUGCCCAGAUGGGAUUAGCUAGUAGGUGGGGUAACGGCUCACCUAGGCGACGAUCCCUAGCUGGUCUGAGAGGAUGACCAGCCACACUGGAACUGAGACACGGUCCAG
rnacentral:rRNA from 1 species